rnacentral:piRNA from 1 species
UAGAUUUUAGUCAGUUCCUCUGUACCUCAGA